UUGUAGUCUAAAAACUUGCAAUCUUUUGGAGAUAUGACAUAUGCACUAUAUGAUUAAAAAUGUGGCCUUAUACUCAUUCCAUCAGAGGCCUAAAUAAUAUCUGCCACUUCAGCCAAGCUGUAGGCUGCUCUGAAUGCCAUGUCCUCAGCUGAGGUUUUCUUAGUUGCAUUGCAAAUCAUGUUGGCAGAAAUUGUACUGUUGAAAUUAAUUCUGCUUUAGAUGAACAAUCAACUGAUGUAUCUGUUUUGUAUGUGUGACCUAUUAAGGGAAAUGGAAAAUCAAUGUACUGCCUGUCCUGAAUUGUGUCAGCCAGCCACAGGGAUAACUGCUUACCAAAGCUACUCCUGUUUCCUCUGAGCAGCAGCUUUAGCAAAGUGACAGAAAUACCAUAAAGAAGCCAUGAGGGAGCACAGCCCACUCUGCUCUGCUUUCUUGGUCACCGUGAUACAUCAUUCUUGAUUCUGUCUAGGAUUUGAGAGCCCUGAAGAUGCCUCUUUUGUGGACAAGGGCACUACUGAAAGAGUGAGAGCUGCUGAUGUUGCUGGUGCAAAGGGACAGCCCUGCACUGCCGCUCUGACGGGGGGCUCCUGGCAGGGCUGUGGGCACAGCCCCAGGGCAGCUCAGCCUUGAGUCACACAACUGGCCACGGAACCUCUGGUGCUUCCUCAGGGUUUUGCUCAGAUGCAGCUGCACAACCUCCUGCAGCAGCUCCUUUGUGAGGGCAGCAGUGGUACCUCCUGAGCUGAUGCUGUUUGAGUUCCCCAUAAUACUUCUCCUUGCCUGUUUCCUUUGAGUGGAGCCUUCAUCCUGUGGCCGUUGAAUGGGAAGCUUACAGAGAAGAAACAAUGUUUUGAACACGCUGAGCCUCUUUCUUCAGAGUGCCAGGAGGAGGCCAAACCACUUCAUUUCUGAGCUGAUGAUAUGUGCUGACACUGCUGUGCUGCUCUGGGACCCAGGGCAGCUCAGGGACCAAACCGGGCACGGUCGUGUUGGCUCCGGCUGGAGCACCAGACAGGGCCUUGGAGAAGAAGAUUCUUCAGUGGAAUUGUAUGUUCCCUAAAUCUUACUGUCUUACCCAACAAGUAGGACUGAGGGUCUAGCCAGCCUGACUGAGAGUGCUUCUGGGCUAAAACUGUGUCACAAUACUGGCACAAGGCAGGUGAACUCAUUCUCCAGCCAGCAGGACAGAGCUCGGCGGGCUCUGGGAGCCAGGCUGGGGCAGUGGGGCUGGGGCAGUGCCAG